rnacentral:rRNA from 1 species
ACUAACUAGGAUUCCCUCAGUAGCGGCGAGCGAACAGGGAAGAGCCCAGCACCGAAUCCCGCGGCCGUAACCGGACGCCGGGAAAUGUGGUGUUAGGGAGGGUCCGCUAUCCCGAGAUUGUGCGACGCGUCCAAGUCCUUCUUGAACGGGGCCACUUACCCAUAGAGGGUGCCAGGCCCGUAGUGACCGUCGCCGAUCACGGGAGGAUCUCUCCUCAGAGUCGAGUUGCUUGAGAGUGCAGCUCUAAGUGGGUGGUAAACUCCAUCUAAGGCUAAAUAUAACCACGAGACCGAUAGCGAACAAGUACCGUGAGGGAAAGUUGAAAAGAACUUUGAAGAGAGAGUUCAAUAGUACGUGAAACCGUUCAGGGGUAAACCUGAGAAACCCGAAAGGUCGAACGGGGAGAUUCAGCGCGUCUCACGGUGCGCGAGUCGUGAUCGUUAGACAAACGGCGUUCGCGUCGUGCGCUACGGUUGCGGCCGUUGCAUCGUGAACGCGUGCACUUCUCCCCUAGUAGGACGUCGCGACCCGUUGGUCGUCGGUCUAAGGCCCGCGGUGGAGCCCGUAGGGGUCGGUUUACGCCGAUUCGUGCGGACCCGUGGCUGCCCGGCCGGCUUGUCCGACGGUGUGACAGAAGCGUAGGGCCGCGACUUGUUCGCGUCCGACCCGUCGCAAGAGCGUGUGUGGACCCCGGCGUUCGGACCUAGUGCCGACUCUGGACCCGCUCGUCUGCUGGCGACGGUGCUCUCGGACAGACCCUAUACACGCUGGUCGGCGACGCUAUAGCUUUGGGUACUUUCAGGACCCGUCUUGAAACACGGACCAAGGAGUCUAGCAUGUGCGCGAGUCAUUGGGACCGCAUUAAACCUAAAGGCGUAAUGAAAGUAAAGGCGCGCCUUGCGCGCGCCGAGGGAGGAUGAGCCGCGACACGUCGUGGCUCCGCACUCCCGGGGCGUCUCAUUCUCAUUGCGAGAAGAGGCGCACCUAGAGCGUACACGCUGGGACCCGAAAGAUGGUGAACUAUGCCUGGUCAGGACGAAGUCAGGGGAAACCCUGAUGGAGGUCCGUAGCGAUUCUGACGUGCAAAUCGAUCGUAAGAACUGGGUAUAGGGGCGAAAGACUAAUCGAACCAUCUAGUAGCUGGUUCCCUCCGAAGUUUCCCUCAGGAUAGCUGGCGCUCGUUGUUGCGAGUUUCAUCCGGUAAAGCGAAUGAUUAGAGGCAUUGGGGUCGAAACGGCCUCAACCUAUUCUCAAACUUUAAAUGGGUGAGAUCUCCGGCUUGCUUGAACGUGAAGCCGCGAGAUUCGAAUCAGAG